rnacentral:rRNA from 1 species
GACGAACGCUGGCGGCGUGCCUAAUGCAUGCAAGUCGCACGCGGCACCUUCGGGUGCUGAGUGGCGAACGGCUGAGGAACACGUGGGGACCUGUCCGGGAGUGGGGGACAACACCGCGAAAGCGGUGCUAAUCCCGCAUACGCUCUGAGGAGGAAAGCCGAAAGGCGCUCCCGGGUGGCCCUGCGGCCCAUCAGGUUGUUGGUGGGGUAACGGCCUACCAAGCCAAUGACGGGUCGCUGGUCUGUGAGGACGACCAGCCAGACUGGGACUGGGACACGGCCCAGACUCCUACGGGAGGCAGCAGCAAGGAAUUUUCGGCAAUGGGCGCAAGCCUGACCGAGCAACGCCGCGUGCAGGAAGACGGCCUUCGGGUUGUAAACUGCUUUUGCUAGGGAGGAUAACAGACAGUACCUGGCGAAUCAGCCCCGGCUAACUCUGUG